GAUAACGUUAUAGUUAUGUUACAGUGACGUAAUAGAAACGAAUGCUAUGUGAAUGGUAACAUAAAUAACGAAUAACUACUGAUAAAAUACUCGUAAAUGACAGAUAUGGCCACUGGGGAUCUAAAAGGGUGUCUCAGGAAACUGGAAGCCUCUCUCCGCUCUCUAAAGUAUCCAAGAGAAGUGGACUAUCAAAGACUGGCCGUGGGGGAUCCAUCAGCAUGUCUUCCUAUAGUGAGCUAUGCCUUCAUUUCCUUUUCUCCCUCACUGACGGAGUACCUGGUCGAAUAUGGCGUGGAACUUACUGGAAUGAAUGAUCUGCGAUUUAUUGAAAAUGUCUACAAGGUCUUGCGAGAUGUUUUCAGCUAUAAACCACUGCUGACCAAGCAACAGUUCCUUCAGUCUGGCUUUGCUGAGAGGAAAGUCACCAUUCUCUGUGAUAUUAUUGGCUUUGUGCUCAACAAACACAAAGAACUCACUAAAGAAAGCAAGCUUGCCAUUAAGCCAAAGAGAAUGUUAAAGAGGAGCACUCUAAAUGAUAACCCUUCAACUGAGAUGGACUCACUGGGAUUAACACCUUUAACGGUUCUUCAGAAGCAGCCACUUGUGGAAAGGCACCUUGGCAGCAGUUCAACACCAACACAGAUCAGAUUCUCUUCAGAUGAGCAGCCACAGCAGGAACAGGAAAUUGAAAAGAGGGGAAUAGACAGUGGGCCUUUUCAGGACUCGCCUGAACCUACAGAUUCUGAUAAAUGUGUUAUAGAAAGCAUGUUGAGCGGGGUGGAGGCUAGGCUUCUGGAUACUGUCAGCAGACUGGAGCAGCGACUGACCUUCAUGGAUCACAGGAUACAUGCCCUGGAGAAAAGCCUGGCUGGCAAGAUUGUCAUUGAGAGCAACCAGUGGGAGAACUUGGAGAGUCGCGUGUUGCUGCUGGAGACCAGGAUGGCGCUGACCUCGGCACAGAGUCUAUCAUCAGGAGAUAGAGUUUGUAAUCUCAGCAUGGACAAAACUGAAUUUAAAGAGGACACAGUAGUGUCUUCAGGUGGUUUUUCCACUGUGAUUCAACCUGAUGUUAGUGCUGCUGAACACAGUUCAGUCAAUCCUCCAACAGAUCCAGAGAAUAUUAAAGAAAGGCUUGAGAGAAUAGUUAACAUGAUGAAGAAUACAUCUAACAUUCUGCAAAAUAUAGAGCCAACAAUGUGAAUUGUACACAGCCUGAACUUGUUUUUACAUGCCCUGUUAAAGUGUUAUAAAAUAUGAAGUGCCUUGUCCUCUAGAUGUCACUGGAACUCAAGUAAAAUUUCAAGGCAAUGCUGAAAAACUGUUUUUCAUCAAUGGACUUUUCCUAUGUGGUUGACAAUCACAGAGUGGGUCAUUGACCUCUGUUCAUAUGGCUAUCUUCAAGAGGUUCCCUUAAGAUCAUUUGGACACAAACAAUCAAGGAGAGAAAGAAAGGUCUGAUGGUUGGUGUAAUUAUGUUUGAAGGAAAGUGUGUAUGUGUGUGGGGGGGUAUUUGUGAACUUUGUCAAAAUUCUUCAGCAUCUGUGUGUAUUAAAUUGUAGAUACUUGGAAGUUAUCUGCUGGUGUCUUUACUUCCUAACUCACAAUAAAAACCAGGCCAGUUUUGAAUUUUCA